UGCAAGAGGAGCUGUCUCUCUCUCUCUCUCUCUCUCUCUCUCUCUCUCUCUCUCUCUCCAGCCUGAAGCUUGUGUCCAGACAGUUGCUCAGUCUGUUCACUGCAUUCACCUUAGUGCAACUUAGAUCUCUCCUGCGAAGUAAAUGUUGACAGGCAAAGUUCAUACCCAUGUCAGAUUGAAUGUAUUUAAAUGUACGUAUUUAAGGGAAACAACCGUGCUCUUGUUCUGUUCCUGUUUGGUUCCAGACACUGGUUUCUGGCUUUGUUUUCCCUGGCUAAUCAGUCAUGUACAAAAGAUUACGAUUUCAUCUGGGGGAAAGAAAGGGGUUUUUUUAAAAAAAUCAAACUGCAUUUGGGAUAAAAGCAGGGCAGACACCAUGGACAGCGCUGUAUGGACAGAGAUGCCCACAGAGUGAAGACCGCUAUCUGCAGAAAGCUCUCAAGACCAAGUUGGGAAGAGUUUCCAGCUAAUGACCAGAUGAAAAGGAGCACGUGAGAGGGCUGUUCAUGUAACAAGGACUUUUUCCUUUCUUUUAUUUUUGUUAAAACCGAACAAGUUCAUCUAAAUCAUUAAUCAAGAAGAAAUAUUAUUCAUUUUCAAAUUAAGUUCCCUUUCGAUUGAUCCGACAGCUUGGAUUAGCAUCUCCUCUUCCUCCCUGAUCCUGACUCUUCCUUCCCCAGUCCCCACCCCCCCACACUUUCAUUCAUUUAACAAAACAAUAAAAGCAACAGAAACCAGACAAGCCCCUUAUUUCCUUAAAUGUUUUGCCAGCCACUUAGCAAUUGCUAACUUAAAUUUCAGAAAAAUGCAUUUACUGGCAAGGAGAGGAGCAGAGUCAGCACGAUCCCGAUCCCACUGGUGACACCUGCUCCCAAAGCGUGUCUGUCCUGGUCCCCAGCGACACAGACCCACACACAGGACGUCCUGGCGUGUUUACGCUGAAGCAGCAGAGACACGCCAGGGUCCCUCCGCCAUGUGUUUUUUAUUUUGUUUUUUAGCAGUGCUAAGCCGAAGUUUUGUAAGGUACAUAAAAUCCAAUUUAUAUGUAAACAAGCAAUAAUUUAAGUUGAGAACGUGUUUUAAUUGUAUAAUUUUUGUGAGGUAUACAUAUUGUGGAAUUAACUCAAAAAUGAGGUACUUCAGUAUUAAAUUAGAUAUCUUCAUAGCAAUGUCUCCUAAAGGUGUUUUGUAAAGGAUAUCAAUGCCUUGAUUAGACCUAAUUUGUAGACUUACGACUUUUUAUUUUCUAAACCUUGUGAUUCUGCUCAUAAAUAAUUUAUCCAAUCUAUAUGAUAUGCAGCCGCCGUAGGACCCAGUUCUUGAUUUUUAUAUGUUUAUAUUCUUUCUUAAUGAACCUUGGGAAGACCACCUGUGGUGAGCAGGCCACUUUCGUGGUUGUUUCUCUCACCCACGCGGGAAGGGGAAUAAUCUUUUAUUAAUUGGUGUCAGUUUCAGACAAAUGCAAUACCAAGAAACUGAUUACCUUUUUUGAGCUAUUUCUCCCCAACCCCUAAGACUUUCUUACCUAAAUUUCAGAAUGGUGUCUUUUUGAUGUCUAAAAAGCAAAGCAUUUUAUAUCUCACUAAGCCAGGCUUUUUAGGAACAGAGAGGUUUUUCCUUGAAAUUUGAUUGAUUGUUUGUUUGUGGCCGGGUGGACAAUGGACAAACUACCCCUAUUUAUAUGUAUAUCUCUCCCUAUAUGUACAAGUGAUGGAUUAUAGAGAGAGAUAUACCGGUAGCCCAAAGAUAAACGGUAAGUAGACAGUCUGAAGGUGUUGCUCCAUACUAAAGAAAUUUUCUGGAAAUUUGCAUUUCGAUACUUUUUUCCACUUGAGAGGGGUCUCACUACAGGGAGGUGGCCCAGAACAGCACUUCUCGGGGCCAUCAGUCCACAUGCCCCCUCACCAGGCUCUACUCUUCUCAACCAAACCCUGGGUUGCCCAACUGCGAUGGAUAAAACGAGCAGACGUUGGCCCAGAACUCCGUGACCGAAUCCGUGUGCCAAGGCUUAUGUCCUACACGAUGUCAUGUGACCAGUUUUAAGUUGCUUUUUAGAAACAUGUGACUUAGAAUGACUUUAACUUCACACAGCACAAAGGAGAAAUGGAGUUUAAGCUGGAUUUGUUUUGUUUUGAGUUUUAAGUCCCCUUUCACUGUAACACGUCCAAAAAUAUUUUUUUUUUAAAUCUGUGUAUCUUUUACUGUUUACCCAUCUGCCCACUGUGUUUUAAUGUCAACCCCAAGUCAGAUAAAUCUGUAAACCAGUGAAGCUGAUCAUUUCGAAUAAUUCAUGGCUGUUUUGAAGGAAAAGAGGUUUAAAUUCUCUUAUGGCUCAGAUCAGGGAAUGAAUGGGUUUUGCUUUACAUCUAAUUAAGAGAAGAAAAGUAAGUGAAGGAAUCCUCUGAUCAUAUUGAUCACUGUGGAAGCAAAAGCCAAAUCGACCCCCUUCGUUAUCAGUAUUUCUCAUGCUGUACACAGUAAAUUUGUUAGACUGAGUCCUUGGUUUUUGUUUAAUAGGACAAAGAAUCAGUGUUUUACUUUUAUUACUAAAUGUGAAAAACAAAUAAUGUGAAAAGUAUACAUACAUUCACUUGGUUGUAAGACUCAUUUAAAUGUUCAUGUAAUGUGGUGAGUUGGAAAGUGAAGUGAGCUCUUUGACUACAAUGAAUUCGUUUGACUCAAAGAUUAAAAUGUCCCUUCCCACGUGUAUCUCCUAUGGCCUGUAAUAAUUGAAAGCAAUGUUUUUGCAGUUUAUAUAAUGCAAUUUUUAAUCUGUGUUUAAAAAUGGAGUUCAUAUGGGCUGACCACAUGAAAUGGGUGGCCCACAUCCACUGUAGAACCCAAAGAUACACAAUCAAUUUUGAAAUGCAACUUAAGCCAUUAAUUGUUGGUGUGAAUUUAAAAUUUUCUAGUAUUUGUAUGGUAGUGUGCUGCCUAAGAGCAAAGCAUUCUCUGCACAAAAGAAAAUUACUGUAGUGGCUUCAAUUUUAAUUAGAAUUUUCUCCCUGGUGUUUCUUUAUAGACUAAAACAAAAUCUUUUAAGUUUCUUACUACAGGUAAAAGCUAUGUGCAAGAACCUCAAAAUGCUAAAAUCUAGCAUAAUGCCUUAGAUCUGUUUUUAAGUCUUGUAUAUUCCUACAUAGCUGUCCGAUGUAUUAUAUUUGUAUAGUGAAUUGUGUACAAUUUUUUGAAUAAGUACAUCAUCACUCAACCUUUAUGUUGUUGGAUGGUGAUGAUGAUACAUUUCUUCAAACAUUUAACUGUCUUUUUUUCCCUUUGUCAUUUGUGGGUUUUAUUUGUACAGUUCCUCAUGAAGUUGCAUCUGAGAUGUGUGUAUAUGAAAAGAUUAUACAAGGGUAAAAUUAAGCAAUAUAUUAACUAUGGUUCUUCAGGAGAAAGCUUACAGUGUUUCAGGUUGUGGUUUAUUUUCCAAAUGGAGUUGACUCUGAACAUCACCUUGUUCACCUGCAUUGAUGUUUGUAUUUCUCGUGUGAGCAGUUUAUGCAAAGGUUUAACGAUUUGAAAUAAUGGGUGAAACCAGACUAAGCUUUGAAGAAAGAAAAUUUAUCCACUAGACUUUAUUUUGGGGAUGCAGAAAAGAUAGUUUACCGUACAAACCAGACACAGCUGAUGAAUUGAGGGCACACAAAUACCCAACGAAAUGAUAUUGAUGUUUGCGAUUCCAUUGCUUCGCCUUGUCAGCAGUGCCUAGACCAGAACAGUCAUCAGUUUGAAAAUAGGCAUUGUCACACACAAAAAUUAUUCAUUUCUGUAUUUUUUUUUAAUUUUGAAAACAAACUGUAUAUCAAUAAACACUGACUUUAUAAUCA